rnacentral:rRNA from 1 species
UACAGAGGUCUCAAGCGUUUGUUCGGAUUCAUUGGGCGUAAAGGGUGCGUAGGUGGCAUGGUAAGUCGGAUGUGAAAUCCCGGGGCUCAACCCCGGAACUGCAUUCGAUACUGCUGCGCUAGAGUACUGGAGAGGAGAUUGGAAUUUACGGUGUAGCAGUGAAAUGCGUAGAUAUCGUAAGGAAGACCAGUGGCGAAGGCGGAUCUCUGGACAGUUACUGACACUGAGGCACGGAAGGCCAAGGGGAGCAAACGGG